ACUUCAGGUGUGAUCCAGGGUAAAAUUUGCGUUUUCCUCCAUGUUCCUUCCCAACUAAUACGGGCUUUGGCAUGCACCACAACAUCUUAGUAACAGGCACCAGGUGAGCCCCGUGUUUAUGUCGCUCUCUGUAACCCAUAUUCCACCUCCAUAAAUCUGUCCCCCUGUUUCCUUUCAAAUGUGUCCCUGCUUUGUGGUGACUCACUGACCUCCUUCUCUCCCCGCAGGUGAGAUGCUGGAACUGCAGGGCCUUUGGGCACAAGGCAAGCAGGUGUCCACUGAAGCAUUGGAAUAGGUACCCAGUCCCCCAGGCCAUGGGCUCCAAUAUGAUGGAGGAAAACCUGAAACCAUGGAACCCCCAGGUCCAGCAGAACCCAGGACGCCUUAACAGGGCUGCUAGGGAGACUGAGCAGAGAGCAUGGCAUGAAGAACAGAGAGAGGCUCCUUGCUGGAGACUUCCAUGGAGACUCACUCAAAGGCCCCAGCAAAACUGCACGGAAGAGACGGAACCCUGUGACUCUUUGAGGGAUCCACACACGCUGAGACCUGAUCACAACACAAGAGGAAAUAUGUGAGAGACCCUGAUCUCACCCCUUGGUCACCGAAAAGGAAAUGUGUCAUGACAUCCACAGCACUUCCCAUUGAAGGUGUUGAGAGAAGCACCUGCUUACCUCCUGUACCAAAGAAUGGACAGGAAGGUCCUGUUACAGACUCCCCUCAUGCAGAAGGCACACGCUUUGGUCAGGAUCCCAGCCACAGUGUCCAUGAGGGGGACAACAGGCCCCAUUCUGCCUUCAGCACCCAGGGCCUGGACCAAGCCCUCAUCCACCAGCCACAGGCCAAGUUCCCUGACGGGAACUCACACAGCAUCCAACAUGCUGCUGCACACAGUGUGGGCCAGGACUCUGACCUCAUCCUCAAGGUACCUGGCAAGAGAGCUGCCCAGACCUCCAGCCAUAUUUUCUAGAAACCCCAAAAGAAACCGAGACUCAGCCCCAGCCGGAAGAGCACCCAGAGACAAGACCUUCAACCUCCGCUCCAGCACCCUCUCAUCAAGACUCUCCAGCCCUGCCAUGUGUCCCAGUUCCCACCAGUUCCCGAGGUUCCAGGCCAGCCCCUCAGAAUGGUCUUCACCACAUUAGACCAAGGCCAGUGGAGCUCCAGGUGCACGACACCUCCACCCCUCCCUCCUGCUGAGAUGCUCACAGCUGCUGCUCAGAUCCCUCCCACCACUGAGAAGUCAGAGGCAUUCUAUCCUUGUGUCUCCUUGAGUGUCCUCCUUGAGGCCCUUCAGCUGUCCUCUUCCUCUGAAGAAGGUGAUGGCCAGUGAGACACUCCAUGUCAGAGAAGACAUGUUCUUCAGUCCCAGGCCACCUGGAAGUACCUGAGGAACUGGAGAGGGGUGGUCACUUGGGGAAAAUGUUUCUGGGGAAUCAGAGCUUCCCCUCUGUGCUGUGUGGACAGAUGGUGGAACCCUGAUCAUGCUUGGGGCACAAAGGCUCAGUUAUUGGACUUUAAUGUACCUAGGUGUAGUGGCAUUUCAAAUGGUGCUUUUAUAAUAAACUAGUUUGUUCUUAUAGAACUGGUAAGGGAAGUAUGUAUUUAGAAAUUUUCAUCCAUUGUAUGUAAAAGUAAGUUAAGUUGCAAUAAUUGCCCUUAAGUCUAGUGGAAAUAGGAAGCUCUGUAAUGAAUCGGGAUCAGGUGUGCACCUGUCUGCUUUGGGGAACCUGGGGCAGGGCCACCUGUGUGGUCUGUAGAUUUGAAGCAGUGCCUGUGGUCCUGAGGUGAGACUGUGUCACUAUGCUAUGUUAUUUCAAUGGAAAUCAGGACAGGGACCCUUCCCAUGACUUUGUACCUUUUGUUUAUGGAAUGUCAUAUUAAAGUUCUGUUUUAGAGUUUGUGUUUGAUAUCAAUAAAA